CGGGUGAGUAAUGCGUGACCAACCUGCCCCAUGCUCCAGAAUAGCUCUUGGAAACGGGUGGUAAUGCUGGAUGCUCCAACUUGACGCAUGUCUUGUUGGGAAAGUGUUUAGUGGCAUGGGAUGGGGUCGCGUCCUAUCAGCUUGUAGGCGGGGUAAUGGCCCACCUAGGCUUCGACGGGUAGCCGGCCUGAGAGGGCGGACGGCCACAUUGGGACUGAGAUACGGCCCAGACUCCUACUGGAGGCAGCAGUA
rnacentral:rRNA from 1 species